UACGGGAGGCAGCAGUGGGGAAUAUUGCACAAUGGGCGAAAGCCUGAUGCAGCUAUGCCGCGUGUAUGAAGAAGGCCUUAGGGUUGUAAAGUACUUUCAUCGGGGAGGAAAAACAAAACUAAUAAUUUUAUUUCUUGACGUUACCCGAAAAAGAAGCACCGGCUAACUCCGUGCCAGCAGCCGCGGUAAUACGGAGGGUGCUAGCGUUAAUCAGAAUUACUGGGCGUAAAGAGCACGUAGGUGGUUUUUUUAAGUCAGAUGUGAAAUCCCUGGGCUUAACCUAGGAACUGCAUUUUGAAAACUGAAAUACUAGAGUAUCGUAGAGGGAGGUAGAAUUCUAGGUGUAGCGGUGAAAUGCGUAGAUAUCUGGAGGAAUACCUGUGGCGAAAGCGGCCUCCUAAACGAAAUACUGACACUGAGGUGCGAAAAGCGUGGGGAGCAAAACAGGGAUUAGAUACC
rnacentral:rRNA from 1 species